GUCAGCUUUUUAUCUCCAUCACAAGAAAAGAAUCAAGGCCCCUUUAGGCUGUCAUCAGUGGCUUUGAAAGUCAUUCUCCUCCUAUGCUGUCCCAACCCUCAAAAAUAAUGAAGAUAUCCAAAAUAGUUAAUCUGUGCUGGAAAUUGUUAGUAAAAAUAAAUAUUAAAUUGGUAUUUUUAUUGUUUUAUAUUUCAGGUCUCUACGGCUAGCAGGGAGACUACUAUGAUUUCAGCUGCAAUAUUUGAUGGAUAAAUCCCUUAUCCCAUCUGCUUGCUUAAUCCAGGAUUCUGAAAUGCAAAUGAUCAGAAAAGGUCACCCAUCCUGCUGUCUUGGCAGAGAGGUUUGGCAGCCUGCCCUGCAGCCCUUGCGAAGAGGAUGGCGAGCCACAGGCCGGAUCUCUCCUGCUGCAAUAUAAGCAUCAACAUGACUGGUGGCUGUCAGCAUGCUGUAUCAGCAAAAGUCCACAGAAAGAUGGUGCUUGCUAUAGAGUCACAUCAGCCUCAGCAGGACCUGCAAGGAACCAGCUGUGGGCCAGUGGUGAUCACCAGGGCUGCACAACCUUGCACAAGUGACAGGUGGGCUCCAGACAGAGAGACCUGCACAACAAGCAAAUGCUGUCUUGGUAUGCCACAGGUGAGGAGCUCAGCACCCAAUGAAUGUCAUUUCAGU
rnacentral:lncRNA from 1 species